GACGAACGCUGGCGGCGUGCUUAACACAUGCUAGUCGAACGGAAAGGCCCUGCUUUUGUGGGGUGCUCGAGUGGCGAACGGGUGAGUAACACGUGAGUAACCUGCCCUUGACUUUGGGAUAACUUCAGGAAACUGGGGCUAAUACCGGAUAGGAGCUCCUGCUGCGUGGUGGGGGUUGGAAAGUUUCGGCGGUUGGGGAUGGACUCGCGGCUUAUCAGCUUGUUGGUGGGGUAGUGGCUUACCAAGGCUUUGACGGGUAGCCGGCCUGAGAGGGUGACCGGCCACAUUGGGACUGAGAUACGGCCCAGACUCCUACGGGAGGCAGCAGUGGGGAAUAUUGCACAAUGGGCGGAAGCCUGAUGCAGCAACGCCGCGUGCGGGAUGACGGCCUUCGGGUUGUAAACCGCUUUCGCCUGUGACGAAGCGUGAGUGACGGUAAUGGGUAAAGAAGCACCGGCUAACUACGUGCCAGCAGCCGCGGUGAUACGUAGGGUGCGAGCGUUGUCCGGAUUUAUUGGGCGUAAAGGGCUCGUAGGUGGUUGAUCGCGUCGGAAGUGUAAUCUUGGGGCUUAACCCUGAGCGUGCUUUCGAUACGGGUUGACUUGAGGAAGGUAGGGGAGAAUGGAAUUCCUGGUGGAGCGGUGGAAUGCGCAGAUAUCAGGAGGAACACCAGUGGCGAAGGCGGUUCUCUGGGCCUUUCCUGACGCUGAGGAGCGAAAGCGUGGGGAGCGAACAGGCUUAGAUACCCUGGUAGUCCACGCUGUAAACGGUGGGUACUAGGUGUGGGGUCCAUUCCACGGGUUCCGUGCCGUAGCUAACGCUUUAAGUACCCCGCCUGGGGAGUACGGCCGCAAGGCUAAAACUCAAAGGAAUUGACGGGGCCCCGCACAAGCGGCGGAGCAUGCGGAUUAAUUCGAUGCAACGCGUAGAACCUUACCUGGGUUUGACAUGGAUCGGGAGUGCUCAGAGAUGGGUGUGCCUCUUUUGGGGUCGGUUCACAGGUGGUGCAUGCCUGUCGUCAGCUCGUGUCGUGAGAUGUUGGGUUAAGUCCCGCAACGAGCGCAACCCUUGUUCACUGUUGCCAGCACGUUAUGGUGGGGACUCAGUGGAGACCGCCGGGGUCAACUCGGAGGAAGGUGGGGAUGACGUCAAGUCCUCAUGCCCCUUAUGUCCAGGGCUUCACGCAUGCUACAAUGGCUGGUACAGAGAGUGGCGAGCCUGUGAGGGUGAGCGAAUCUCGGAAAGCCGGUCUCAGUUCGGAUUGGGGUCUGCAACUCGACCUCAUGAAGUCGGAGUCGCUAGUAAUCGCAGAUCAGCAACGCUGCGGUGAAUACGUUCCCGGGGCU
rnacentral:rRNA from 1 species